AGGACGCUUAGUUCAAAUUAAGCCGACUCAAACCAGACGCGAAACCUUGAAAUCGGCACAUAUAAACAUCGACUGUAAUAGGUUCGCUCCGAGUUCAAGCAACCGAAACCAUGUUCGGUCCAGGUUCAUUGAACCGAAACCAUGUUCGGUCCGAGCACAGGUUCGCUUUCGGUUCAUCCUCCGUUCGCUCCAACCAUUAACAAGCGAACCAAGGUCGUUGUUCCAAGUUCGGUCCAAGUGCAUCAGCUUUAUCCCUAGGCGAAUCUCCAUUCUUUCGUUAUAAGAGCUAACAAACGAACCCAAUCAUAGGUUCGCUUCUGAUUGCAGGUAAGAUUGCGAAUCCAACAUCAUUCGAUCGAUGUUAUUAAGCCUCUAUUAAGAGACCUGCUUGGCGAAGCGAACAGGACGUCAAGCCAAAUCACGAUUCAAGAUCUGAAAAGGACCACAAAUCUCCUUCGUUCCAAUUUCUAUUCCAUCAAUCUGAUUCCAAGACCCAUUACAGUUCCGAUUUUGCCCCAAUUUUGACUUUCUAUGGUUUGACCCUCCAAAUCGAAAUACACUGCCGUUCAUCCAUUCAUCAUCAGACCACGUGAUUGGCGUACCAUGUUCAUAUGUUCUUCAACGGUUCAUCUCAGGUGUCGUAAUUUCUAUUUAACAAACACCCAAUCAAGAUGUGGAACGGAUUAAGCAAAUUGAUUGAAACAUCAUGAUCAAAUAAAAUUAAGAUCGAUUUUGAGAAUGAAA